rnacentral:lncRNA from 1 species
UAAUGUUCAUUUAGUACGAUACGGUUACUAACGUUAUCAAAGCUAUGUUUAAAUUUUUUUUUAUUCCAACUACAGGUACUCAUUGUUUCAAUUAUGUUAACAAGUUAUAGUUUUCUUCUCAGUUAUAUUUAUAUUGGAAAAAAAAUUAAAAAUGUGGGAGAGAGAAAAAAGAAAGGGAAAAAAUACAUAAGUGACAGGGGA